GACAGUACUCAAUGACAGCAACUGAUGUAGUUAUUUAAUACUUUAUUUGAGCAUUGGGAUCCAGAAUACAACAUUUUGCCAGACGAGUUUAUGAAAGAAGCUUCAAUCUCAUGUACAUUGCUUCUUGAUUUUUGUGUUUGCAGUGCUGAUAAACAAAGGUUGUCUGCAGGUCACAGUAGAGGGUGUUAUUGGUGGAUCUGUUGUCCUGCCGUGUUCUUCAGCUGAACAUCAUCAAGACACUGAAGUGCAUUGGAGACACAAUAACAGCAAGAUUGUGUAUGAUAUUAUUAAAUGUAAAGAUUCAAUAGAUCAACAGGACCCACAGUACAAGAACAGAGCUGAAACUUUCCCAGAUGAGUAUCUGAGAGGAAACUACUCCAUCAAACUCAACAAUCUUCAACACACUGACGCAGGACAGUUCAUCUGCUUCAUCAAACCCUCAGAUAAACAGGGGACCAUAAAACUGAUCAUCAAAGAAUCAACAGCAGAAAAAGAAAAAAACACUGAACAAGAAAACCAAGGACCAGAAGCACAGUCAGAUUGGAGAAAGAUAUUACUGAUCUGUGGUUGCACACUAUUACUUGUAUUAGUUCUGUUUAUAAUAGCCUAUGUCACUCCCAAGAUUUUCUUGUUGCAUAACAGAAUAAGAUAGAGUUUUUGUUGGGAGCACGUAUCAUACUGCAAUCCAAAGUCACAUGAUUUCAGCAAACUAGGUUUUAUUAUGUCACAACUGUAGAAAUGUUUGAAAAUUGCAAUAGCUCACAGCUGGGUGGCAAUGAUGUCAGUAAACCAAUUGGUCAAUGCAGACAUUUAUAUUUAUUGAUAUUUGAAGAGCUGGUGAUUUAAUUUAAUAUUUUGUGCAUAUUUUGGGAAGUAGGGGUGCUGAGGGUGCUGCAGCACCCCCUAGUUUGGAGCUAAAGAAAAAAAUGGGGGUGCUGGGGGUGCGGUGUUAAAAUAAAUAAAUUAAAAUUUUGUAACACAAAUGAAAUAAAACUAAUUUUAUUCAUUUGAAAAUUCAUUAAAAUUCAUUGGGGAAAAAACAAUGACAAUAAGCAACUAUUGUCGCGUGACGUCACCACGUCCUCAUCCGUCAUUGCGGAUAAAAAAUACACUAGUCAACAACUGGCGCAAAAACGCAUUUCCGAGUUUUUUUGCGAAGCCCAAACAAACUAAAAAGAGACCGAGCCUUGAUCUGACGGAUCAAUUGGAUAAGGAAGCAGACCUGG